UGGGGAAUUUUGCGCAAUGGGCGAAAGCCUGACGCAGCAACGCCGCGUGGGUGAUGAAGGUCUUCGGAUUGUAAAACCCUGUCGUCAGGGACGAAGGUCGGGGUGUGAACAGCGCCUUGGCUUGACGGUACCUGGAGAGGAAGCCCCGGCUAACUCUGUGCCAGCAGCCGCGGUAAUACAGAGGGGGCAAGCGUUAUUCGGAAUUAUUGGGCGUAAAGGGCGCGUAGGCGGUUCUUUAAGUGAGAUGUGCAAUCCCCGGGCUUAACCUGGGAACUGCAUCUCAUACUGGAGAGCUAGAGUGCUGGAGAGGGUGGUAGAAUUCCACGUGUAGCGGUGAAAUGCGUAGAGAUGUGGAGGAAUACCAGUGGCGAAGGCGGCCACCUGGACAGUAACUGACGCUGAGGCGCGAAAGUGUGGGUAGCAAACA
rnacentral:rRNA from 1 species